CAAAAUGUAGCUUAACCUUAAAGCACUUCGCUUACACCGAAGUUAUAUCUGUAAAAUCCAGGUCAUUUUGAG
rnacentral:tRNA from 1 species